UACGUAGGGGCUAGCGUUAUCCGGAAUUACUGGGCGUAAAGGGUGCGUAGGUGGUUUCUUAAGUCAGAGGUGAAAGGCUACGGCUCAACCGUAGUAAGCCUUUGAAACUGGGAAACUUGAGUGCAGGAGAGGAGAGUGGAAUUCCUAGUGUAGCGGUGAAAUGCGUAGAUAUUAGGAGGAACACCAGUUGCGAAGGCGGCUCUCUGGACUGUAACUGACACUGAGGCACGAAAGCGUGGGGAGCGAACAGGAUUAGAUACCCCGGUAGUCCCUGAGCGGGCU
rnacentral:rRNA from 1 species